rnacentral:rRNA from 1 species
CCUACGGGGGACAGCAGUGGGGAAUAUUGCACAAUGGGGGAAACCCUGAUGCAGCGACGCCGCGUGAGUGAAGAAGUAUUUCGGUACGUAAAGCUCUAUCAGUAGGGAAGAAAAUGACGGUACCUGACUAAGAAGCCCCGGCUAACUACGUGCCAGCAGCCGCGGUAAUACGUAGGGGGCAAGCGUUAUCCGGAUUUACUGGGUGUAAAGGGAGCGUAGACGGCAGCGCAAGUCUGGAGUGAAAUCCCAUGGCUUAACCAUGGAACUGCUUUGGAAACUGUGCAGCUAGAGUGCAGGAGAGGUAAGCGGAAUUCCUAGUGUAGCGGUGAAAUGCGUAGAUAUUAGGAGGAACACCAGGGGCGAAGGCGGCUUACUGGACUGUAACUGACGUUGAGGCUCGAAAGCGUGGGGAGCAAACAGGAUUAGAUACCCGAGUAGUC